rnacentral:lncRNA from 1 species
CAUGAGGUCCCAGAAGUCAGCUUUGGUAUUUCUGCUCCUGCAACUCUUCUGUGCUGGCUGUGGAUUCUGAGAGAAGGUCCUGGUGUGGCCCUGUGACAUGAGCCAUUGGCUGAAUGUCAAGGUCAUUCUAGAGGAGAUCAUAGUGAGGGGCCAUGAGGUAACAGUAUUGACUCACUCAAAGCCUUUGUUAAUUGACUACAGGAAGCCCUCUGCACUGAAAUUUGAGGUGGUCCAUAUGCCACAGGAUAAAACAGAAGAAAAUGAAAUAUUUGUUGACCUAGCUCUCAGUGUCUUGCCAGGCUUACCAACGUGGCAAUCAGUCAUAAAAUUAAAUGUUUUUUUGUUGAAAUAAGAGGAACUUUAAAAAUGAUGUUUGAGAGCAUUAUCUACAAUCAGACACUUAUGAAGAAGCUACAGGAAACCAACUACGAUGUAACGCUUAUAGACCCUGUGAUUCCCCGUGGAGACCUGAUGGCUGAGUUGCUUCCAGUCCCUUUUGUGCUCACACUUAGAACUUCUCUAAGAGGCAAUAUGGAGUGAAGCUGUGGGAAACUUCCAGCUCCACUUUCCUAUGUACCUGUGCCUAUGACAGGAUUAACAGACAGAAUGACCUUUCAGGAAAGAUUAAAAAUCCAAUGCUUUCAGUUUUCUUCCACUUCUGGAUUCAGGAUUAUGACCAUCAUUUUUGGGAAGAGUUUUAGAGUAAGGCAUUGAAAUGGAAAAUGUUGUCCAGAGUUCAGGGGAAGAGGAUAUUGGGUUCUUUUCUCUGAGGUCACUGUUUCAAAACGUUACAGAAGAAAAGGCUAAUAUUGCUUCAGCCCUUGCCCAGAUCCCACAGAAGGGUGUUAUAGAGAUACAAUGGGAAAAAACUAUCCACAUUAGGAACCAAUACUCGACUGUCUGAUGGGAUACCCCAGAAUGAUCUUCUUGUACUAGGUCACCUCAAACCAAAGCUUUUAUCACUCAUGGAGGAAUGAAUGGGAUCUAUGAAGCUAUUUACCAUGAGGUCCCUAUGGUGGGAGUUCCCCUAUUUGGUGAUCACAAUGAUGCCAUAGCUCACAUGAAGGCCAAAGGAGCAGCUGUAGAAAUAAACUUCAAAACUAUGACAAGCAAAGAUGUACUCAGGGCUUUGAGAACAGUCAUUAACGAUUUCCAGUUAUAAAGAGUAUGCUAUGAGUUUAUCAGGGAUUCACCAUGAUCAACCUGUGAAGCCCCUGAUCGAGCAAACUUCUGGAUCGAGUUUGUCAUGUGCCACAAAGGAGCCAAGCACCUGUGAUCAGCUGCCCACAGCCUCACCUGGUUCCAGCACUACUCUAUAGAUGUGAUUGGGUUCCUGCUGGCCUGUGUGGCAACUGCUAUAUUCUUGGUCACAAGAUGUUGUUUAUUUUCCUGUCAAAAAUUUAAUAACACUAGAAAGAUAGAAAAGAGGGAAU